rnacentral:rRNA from 1 species
AGAGUUUGAUCCUGGCUCAGAAUCAACGCUGGCGGCGUGCCUAACACAUGCAAGUCGAGCGAGAAAAGGGGGGCAACUCCCUGAGUAAAGCGGCGCACGGGUGAGUAACACGUGGGCAAUCUGCCGAGAAGUGGGGGAUAGCUCGCCGAAAGGCGAAUUAAUACCGCAUGUGAUCAGAGUGGACAUCCAUUCAAAAUCAAAGGUGGCGCAAGCUACCGCUUCUUGAGGAGCCCGCGGCCUAUCAGCUAGUUGGUGAGGUAACGGCCCACCAAGGCUUUGACGGGUAGCUGGUCUGAGAGGACGACCAGCCACACUGGGACUGAGACACGGCCCAGACACCUACGGGUGGCAGCAGUCGAGAAUUUUUGACAAUGGGGGAAACCCUGAUCGAGCGACGCCGCGUGGAGGAUGAAGGUCUUCGGAUUGUAAACUCCUGUCAUUGGGGAACAAUGCACAGAUAUUAACUGUAUUUGUGUUGAUAGUACCCGAAGAGGAAGGGACGGCUAACUCUGUGCCAGCAGCCGCGGUAAUACAGAGGUCUCAAGCGUUGUUCGGAUUCAUUGGGCGUAAAGGGUGCGUAGGCGGCGCGGUAAGUCGGGUGUGAAAUCUCGGAGCUUAACUUCGAAACUGCAUUCGAUACUGCCGUGCUUGAGGACUGGAGAGGAGACUGGAAUUUACGGUGUAGCGGUGAAAUGCGUAGAUAUCGUAAGGAAGACCAGUGGCGAAGGCGGGUCUCUGGACAGUUCCUGACGCUGAGGCACGAAGGUCAGGGGAGCAAACGGGAUUAGAUACCCCAGUAGUCC